AGAGAAAAAAAUGAACUAUAUCCCUACCUUACAUCAUCCGUAUAAAUUAAUUGGGGAUGGAGCAUAGACGUAUGUGUAAAAGGAUAAAGCUUUCAAAACAAACCAUGGGAGAAUAUCUUCAUAACCUUCAGGUAGGCAAAGAUUUCUUUUUCUUUUUCUUUUUUUCUUGAGACGGAGUUUUGCUCUCCGGGCCACCAUGCCCGGCUAGUUUUGUAUUUUUUAGUAGAGACGGGGUUUCUCCAUGUUGGUCAGGCUGGUCUCAAACUCCUGACCUCAGGUGAUCUGCCCACCUUGGCCUCCAAAAGUGCUGGGAUUACAGGCGUGAGCCACCGCGCCUGGCGAGGCAAAGACUUUUUAAACAGGGCAUAAGAAUAACUGAAAGAAAGACUAGUAAUUGACUUCAUUAAAAUAAAAAACUUCUCCUCAACCAGUCACAAACUUACAGCAAUGACAAAUGAUUAACUGGAUGCAAUAACAUGGGUGAACCUCUCAUCUCCAGAUUACUUAUAAUAUCUAAUGCAAGGUAAAUGUUAUAUAAAUAAUUGUUAUAUUGUAUUGUUUAGGUAAUAAACACACUCUAACACUCGCUCUGUUUUCCCCACAAUCCGCAGCAUGCAGCCUGCUGUGUCCACCUCACAUACGCACUGGACCUUGUCCUCACU
rnacentral:lncRNA from 1 species